rnacentral:rRNA from 1 species
CCUACGGGAGGCAGCAGUGGGGAAUUUUGCGCAAUGGGGGCAACCCUGACGCAGCGACGCCGCGUGCGGGACGAAGUCAUUCGUGACGUAAACCGCUUUCAGCGAGGAAGAACCAUGACGGUACUCGCAGAAGAAGCCCCGGCUAACUACGUGCCAGCAG